UACAGAGGGGGCAAGCGUUGUUCGGAAUUACUGGGCGUAAAGGGCGCGUAGGCGGCCUUCUAAGUCGAACGUGAAAUCCCCGGGCUCAACCCGGGAACUGCGUCCGAUACUGGAAGGCUUGAAUCCGGAAGAGGAGAGUGGAAUUCCUGGUGUAGCGGUGAAAUGCGCAGAUAUCAGGAAGAACACCCGUGGCGAAGGCGGCUCUCUGGGACGGUACUGACGCUGAGACGCGAAAGCGUGGGGAGCGAACAGG
rnacentral:rRNA from 1 species